GAGAGCAAUUAUCAGGACCAGUAGGCGAUGGUAAUGUGUCAGAGUCUUCUUCAACAAUGUCAAUAGGAUGUGCAUAGGUAGACACAUCAUUCAAUCCUUCAUGGUCACUACUACCAGAUUUGUUAUCAAUGUCGCAGCAUGUUUGCUAGUCUAUGGCAAGAGAGCCAUUCGUAUUACUGCCUGAGAAAAGCUCUU
rnacentral:pre_miRNA from 1 species